UCCGGCCCAGAUUCUACGGGAGGCAGCAGUGGGGAAUAUUGCACAAUGGGCGAAAGCCUGAUGCAGCAACGCCGCGUGAGGGAUGACGGCCUUCGGGUUGUAAACCUCUUUUAGCAGGGAAGAAGCGAAAGUGACGGUACCUGCAGAAAAAGCGCCGGCUAACUACGUGCCAGCAGCCGCGGUAAUACGUAGGGCGCAAGCGUUAUCCGGAAUUAUUGGGCGUAAAGAGCUCGUAGGCGGUCUGUCGCGUCUGCUGUGAAAACCCGAGGCUCAACCUCGGGCCUGCAGUGGGUACGGGCAGACUAGAGUGCGGUAGGGGAGAUUGGAAUUCCUGGUGUAGCGGUGGAAUGCGCAGAUAUCAGGAGGAACACCGAUGGCGAAGGCAGAUCUCUGGGCCGUAACUGACGCUGAGGAGCGAAAGGGGGACAACA
rnacentral:rRNA from 1 species